ACCUCUGUAGUGGGAGUGGUUAACACACUGGACUGCUAACCAGGAGGUUGGUGGUUUAAGUCCACCCAGAGGCU
rnacentral:tRNA from 1 species